rnacentral:rRNA from 1 species
GACGUAGGGCGCGAGCGUUGUCCGGAUUUAUUGGGCGUAAAGAGCUCGUAGGCGGAUCGUUAAGUCGGGGGUGAAAUCCUGGAGCUCAACUCCAGAACUGCCUUCGAUACUGGCGAUCUAGAGUCCGGAAGAGGUGAGUGGAACUCCUAGUGUAGAGGUGGAAUUCGUAGAUAUUAGGAAGAACACCAGUGGCGAAGGCGGCUCACUGGUCCGGUACUGACGCUGAGGUGCGAAAGCGUGGGGAGCAAACAGG